CACACAUUUGGCCAUCCAAAAUCGAGCGAAGCGAAUUUCGCAAAUAAUUGGAGCAGUUUGCCAACGCUCACGUUUUGGGCAAGGUAACACUUGGCCAAGGUAAAGACAGCUCGUACGAGUAUAGUGCCAUAUGUGGAAAAAACACAGUGCCACGCCAGUGUGAAGGGAAAACUCCGGAAUCGAUACCCAUGUUGUUCUCUUAUCGCCGGAGAAGGAGGGAGGAUGGGCAUGGGGCUGAGUCCUGUUGCCGAUUAGCCGUUGCCCUGCCACAUCGAUAAGGCAAAUCAACACUCGAUAAGCGUCCUGGGACAGGGCACAUUCCCGUCCUUAUCGCUGCCAGGAGUUAUGGCAGUCUAUCAAAGUGUUUGUAUCUGCACUGAAAAGUUUUCUGUCUCUAUCAUAAUGGUAAUAAUUACACAAGAAGGUAAAUGACUCCUUGAGAAAGUGAAUCCCAAUUAGGUUUUAGAUUUGCUUUUUAUGAUCACCAAUAUGAUUACUUUGUAAUUGACAUAAGCAGCUGACGAUAACCCUUUCUUCGCCUAUUCAAGUCUUUUUCAUCUUCCAAUAAACGAUGUAAUUGUUUUCAGUGUGUCCGGUCAAAAACGCUGAUUCUGUUACUAUACAUCCUGGCAUGACUCGAUUCGCUGAUAUGACACGAUAAAAUCAUAAAAAAAUCAAUAUUUAGGUCCUAAAAGGAACGACCGAGCAGUGCCCACUAUCAGUGCGUUCUUCUGGGGGCGUUGACCAGGCGCGCGGUCCCGAGGUCGCUUAUCAGCGGCGCUGGGGAGGAAAACCGAGAGCCGCAAGUCUGGGACAUUGUCCGGCGAUGACUUUAAAAUCCUCCCGGACGGUCGAGGGGCGGAAGACCCGCAGAGGCUUAUCACAAGACCGGGCGGCGAGCGUAAAUAAUACAAUGUGGAGGGCACAAGGAAAUGCCGGCGAGGAGGAGCGGGGCAGGAGGAGGCAUAGUUUUUCCUCGGCCACGGGAAAGCAGGAAAAAACGUGCGAUAGGCCAAGGGGCAAAUGAGCUGAAGGAGAGCGCAGAGGAAAAGCAAACCUUUGGCGCUGGCAAAGUGCAUUCGCCCCACCACGGAAUGGAAGGCAAUGCCAGGAGUAGGGGACACUCGGAGAUAUUUCAAGAGAGUAGUUCCAUGUGUAAACAAAUUAAUACUGAGAAACUAAUUCAUAACAGAGUGCCAUCUGGUUUAGAAAAGCCUGUGAAUAAGCAACUAAAUCAUAUUUCCUUGAAGGCUAGAUCGCAUCUUUUCUGCGAGUGUACAGCGCUAUGGGCGUCUAGGACCAGGGGAAACUGGUGCUGUUGAAGUGGACAAGUGAUAAAGCAAGGAAAAGGCAGAAGAGCGCCGCGUAGAAUCCAUUAGCAGUCGCUUGGAACGGAAUGGAUGGAAACUCCCGAUGGGCGGGGAAAUGGGGAAAUAGGAAAAUGGGAAAAUGGGAAACGCGGGGCGCGGUGGGGCACGCGGAGCAGGCGGCAAAAAGUGCAUGUGAAUGGGAAUGAAAAUGGGUGCAUGCGGAGUCCGCCAAGUAGCAACCAAGUGCAUCCCGACUCCCUUUUCCCGUCUCCUCCUCUCUGUUCUCCUCGCCUUUCUUUUGGUGGAAAGGGUUCAAUGCUCGAUUUCUUCUAGCUGCAGUGGUUGCCAUGGGAAAGCCGCGAGGCGGGGAAAACUGCGAGGCAAAUGCCUCUGGGCAGGAUCAACCCCCAAUUACGUUCAAUUAAAAACUCGAACAAGCUGUUGUGUAAUUUGUGAAUUCUGCGGGUAAAGGAUCCCUCCGAAAACCCGACUUGAUUGCCUUAAUUGAGGGCGACGCACAUUCAAUUCAAGAAGUUGUGCCACCGAACAGGGAGUAAUCACUGGAUAACACGCGUCCGGCGGCAUGUCGAGUUCCGGAAAUUAUGCAGGAUCCGCGGAUGCUACCGAUCAGGGAGUUGACUUCUCGAUGAGGGCAGGAUCAAUGGUCCUGGGAACGAACUGAAUUAAAGUCCUCGCCAGCAGAAUUUACUUGAUUUGAAAUAUAAUAUAAUGCAUAAAUGGCCUCUGACUUUAUUUCAACCAUGGAACCACCACCCUGAAAAAACCAAAAAGUCGCUGCUCAAUUUGUUCAUCUAAUUAUAAACAGCCAUCGAGCUGAGCCGAUGAUCCUCGACGGAAGUUCAAUGAUCCCAGGAAAACCUGAAGGAAAAGGGGAAUAGAGCAAAGAAAAGGGCAAACAAUGACUCGGCAGACAAAGGAAAAGAAAAUGGAAAAAUGCCAGCAGAUAGGGAAGGCAAAAGGCAGAAAGGCUGAAAGUCAGUGAUUAUGAAUAGCCAAGACAAUGAGGCUGCAGAGGCAUGAAAGGACGUUCGCCACUCACGUGGACCGAAUGCUGAUCCUCGAGAUGUGCGUGCUGCGAUACGCGUGUGUUCCAGGAAUAGCAAACAGGACACGCCCACGCCCACGCCUUUGUCAAGGAAUACGACCCCGCAGGAGACUCAAUCCGAUCGCUAGUUGCUGUUGAGUAAUUUGUGCGCUGCUGAGAUAAAAAUCUGUUAAGCGGUUACCAAACAUAAACAGAGUCCGGGGUGGAAAAGAUCAUUAUUACACUGGGAAUAAGGAAUUAGUAAUUUUAGACUACUAACUCAUUUUUACAAAAGAAUUCGGGAUAAGGCAAAUGGAUGACUAUAUGUGAAAUGUUGAAAGAUAUUAAAAUAUUUAUUUUAAUAGAUAAUAAAUAAUGCUUUGCAAUCGAACUUGGUUUUUUCCAGUGUGGACAUUACUUAACCCCGGUGCGCGGGGUGUGAGAUCGGUAGCUCCUUCUGGUCGGAUGCAGGCGGUCUAUUUUCGGUCGCAGAACCGGGGCACUUAAGGCUUUAUGUGGGUCCUUCCCGGGGGUUGCGAUGGCUGGGUGACCUUCCCCUGUUUUGGGGGUAAGUUCGGUGCUAUUCCGGCUAUUUGUGUACUCCUGCAUGGCAGUGCAGGAAUCGUCACUCUUCAUUACGAUUUCCAUAAACAGCCCGCAGAUUGCAGUGGCUCCUUCUGCCAGGACAACUGCCGGAGAUUGAAACUUCCCACAUGGGUAGCAAUUUAUCAAUUGAACGAUCCCCGCAGCCACUUAACUUUCGAGGCUCGGGAACUUUGAGUGAGCCUCCUCCUAAUGAAUCGUCGCUGAUUAAUCGAUUGGGAAGCAGAACUCAAGGAGGGACCAAUGAUUUUCUCCCUUAAUUUCAAUUAAUUUACCAUUAGGAUGCCAAUCACUCGAUCUGGCCUUUAAAUAGAAACGAACUUCGAUAUAUUCCGCCUCUAUUUUUAUGCUAAGCAGUCGGUCAGUGCCAGCAUCGCGGCGAAUGCAGCUGAGCGCGCGGAGGAUUAUAAGGCCCAUCAUCGACGACGACGCCGCUUCCUUCCUGCCUUCCAGCCUUCCAGCCUUC